ensembl:lncRNA
GGUUUUUAUUAAUUUUUAAUUCAGUUUUAGUUUAAUUUAUUUUAAUACAUCAAAACGAAUUGAAAAUGAGAUAUCUUGCCUUGGCAAUAAGCUGAUAUAAAAAUAAUAAAUAAAUAAUAAUUUUUAAUCAAAUAAAAUGUAUGUAUGUGUGUGUAUAUCUAUAUAUAUAUAUAUAUAUAUCAUUUUUUUUUUUAUUAAAAAUAAUUAAUUAUAUUUUUUAAUAUUUUUUAAGGUUUUAAUUUUAGUUACCUCUAAUAACCCUGUUUACAAGAAAAUAUUAUUUCAGUCUUUCUAAAAUAUUAUUUAAAAAUAUUAUUUCUACUUUAUAUUAUAUAUAAUAUAAUAAAAUUUCCUGUUUAAUUCAACGUGUUACUUGUUUCUUAUGUAAUUAUUUGUGAAUUUUACUAGCGAUUUCUGAGUGAAAACUGUUUAAAAGUAAAUCCUUCACCAGUUUUGUUUUUCCUAAAACAAGAAUAAGUUGAAAGCUUCUGCAAAACAGGAACGACUCAACGAACACAUAUGAGCUCAGAAGUUUCUGUUCUUUUUAAAGUUUACGACUGCUUGACAACAAUUACGAAUCAAAUGAGGUUUUACCUUUUUCUCCUCCAUCUGUCUGUGUUUCUUUCUGUUCUCCUUUUCAUCUGAUGAUGAUUUCACUCAAGCAUAAUUAACAGCAAGAUGAGCUCCAUUAAACUGGGGAAAAUAAUUUAACGGCUCAUUACAGAUGCAAUACUUAAACAUAAAGAACACAUUCUGGUCUUGGGUUCCUGUUCACUCUGAACUUCACCAAACGUCGUGGUCGAUCAAAAUGAGGUUUCCAUCGAUCCCCAAACUCGGAAUCUGGAAUCCGGUUGUCAUGGUGAUUCCCGAAUCUCUGAUGUUAUCUGAGGAGAUAAUCUGUGUUUCUGAUGCACUUCGUUCCUCUCAGACUUCCUUCAGCUCUUCCCGCUGUCAGGAUUCAGGAAGCAGGUGUCCACCUGGGUUUCCAUGGCAACGCAUGACAUUAUGGGCUGCGUUUCCAUGAUCCAUCUGUUGCAACACAGCGUUCCAAACACAGGUGCGCUCAGUGUGGACGUGACACGCAUCAUUAGCAUCUGAAACACACGUCCAGCCGCAUACGUCUGAAACAUGGAGACCAUUACAAUAUCAUGCCAUAUGACAACGUGUUGAAAGGGACAAUUCACCCAAAAACAAAAACUGUCAUCAUUUAUUCACUCACACAAACAGCUGUUGAACUAAAUCAUUUGGUUAAAAAAAAACAAAUAAGAAAAGCACCAUAAAAGUAUCAUAAAGACUUGUGCACUAUAUUCCCAACAGGGUUAUUAUUGUUAACUAAAACCAUAAAAAAUGUGUAACUUGAACUAAAAAUUUAAUAAAAUAUAUAUUUUAAAAUAUAUAAUUUAUUCC